rnacentral:rRNA from 1 species
GUUCAACGGCCGCGGUAUCCUAACCGUGCGAAGGUAGCGUAAUCACUUGUUCUUUAAAUGGGGACUAGUAUGAACGGCAUCACGAGGGUUAUGCUGUCUCCUUUUUCUAAUCAGUGAAACUAAUCUCCCCGUGAAGAAGCGGGGAUUAACCUAUAAGACGAGAAGACCCUAUGGAGCUUUAAACUUCUCUUCAAGUGCCAAGCUAUUUUAUCAAGUCACAGACCCCCUCCACAAUAAACCCCCGGCACUAUGGAGAUGACUUUUAGGUUGGGGUGACCGCGGAGCACAAAAAAACCUCCACGCUGAACAGGCCUCAAAACCUUGAGAUUAGGGCUACAACCCGACUCACUAAAAAAUUAACACUUAUUGACCCAAUAACAAUUGAUCAACGAACCAAGUUACCCUAGGGAUAACAGCGCAAUCCACUUCAAGAGUCCCUAUCGACAAGUGGGUUUACGACCUCGAUGUUGGAUCAGGGUAUCCCAGUGGUGCAGCCGCUACUAAUGGUUCGUUUGUUCAACGAUUAAAACCC